rnacentral:lncRNA from 1 species
CUGAGAUUGAGAUUUAUAAGCAAUAAUUUUAUCAGGGAUGCUCUAACAUGUAAGGAAGUGAGGGUGCCAGUACAGGGCAAAAGGAUAAGUUGAAUUAUGAUAAAUUAUAAUAAAGGUAUUAAUCAACUCCAAUCUCACAUGGAAUCUAGAACUAGAAAGAGCCUUCAAGGAUUGUCCCAAAUUAUUGCAAAUGGGUUGAACUUUUGAGAUUUCUAAUUUAUUAUUCAUUCCAUACAGGCUGUCCCCAGCAAAAUCAAUUCCCACAUGGUGAUGCAGCUAAGAAUCAUCAGUAGCCAUUACUCCUAGAAGCUCAUGGAAUUUGAAAGUUUCCAAGAGCAACUUGUCAUGUCUGACUUUCCAGGCUUUUGUAAAUGGAGGUUUACUGGCUACAUCAAGAUAAAGAUGAAAUGUAUCUCAAUAAAUGCAUGAUGGAUGACAAUAAAAGAAGAAAAGAAAGAUGACAGUGUUCUCAGGAAUGCUUCUUUAUGCUCUCAGGUAUGUUAUUUCACUUAAUUUAAACUUCAUAGCUGUAUCGAAAUUAUUUCAAAUCCAUUGCCAUAAUUAAAAUCUGUGGUAUGUGUAUGAUUUUUAUAUGUUCAAAUUUACAUGGUGUUGAUGG